AGUGUGGCAAAGUCUUUUUGACAGACUUAAAAAUAUUGAGACUCCUUUAUUACUCUUGGAGGAACUAUUUCGUGGCAAUACUUCUAAAAAAGAUUUAACAAAGAAGUGUAUGUUCAUGUAAGUAAAUCAAAUAAUCGAGUAUAACCCAGGCAGCUGUGGUGCAGGCCGUGCCAUACAAGGAUUUUUAUAAGCAUUGAUCCUGACCUAGAUGAUGACUUCCAACCCACAAGACACCUCUUGGACAGCUACGGAACCAUGACGUGUUCUGGUACAAUCUGUCCUAGCAGGAAUUAGGAUGAGAGAACCUCAUGCCAAGUAUCAAAGAGGGCUUCAGCAGUGCUGGUGAAGGUAGCUCUAUGGCAUAGGGCCAGACAGUUGAAGUGUGAAAAAAUUUGCAUGUGGACUUGAAGACUUUCCUUUUCCUAGAGGUGGAGCCAAGGAGAUAGACCAAGCUGCCAAGUGUUUUCUGCAUCUCACCAAUAUGGACCUGCAGUGGAAACCUCGGGAACCUUUCUGCCUCGGGCGGUCUCCUGAAGAUGUGCGAUGGGCUCGGACUGUGCAUCAGCAACCAGCAGUUCGUGCUGCCUCGGCCCCACUCUGAGCACAAGCUGGUGCCUGCACCGGGGGCAGCACAGGAGCAUCGGGGGCAAAGCGCCAGCACCUCUGGGCUCCCCAAAAUGCAAGGGACAGGAGGCUUCUCCCAGCAGCACAGGAGGACUGAGAUGAAUGAUGCCUCAUCCGAAGGGAAUAAGAUAUAAUUGAGCAUGUCAUUCUGAAGCAGCAAAUAACACUUUGGAGAGAAUUGAAGGAAACACGUUUCUUUGAUUAAAAUAUUUUUCUCAUUAACAGGAUGUUCAAAAUAAAGCAAAAAUAUUUGAUGCACAGAGCCUGUGGCAGUACCGAGUUAACGCUGGCGUGCUCCCGCAUUUUACCUCAUGUUUACUAAUCAAUCAGAAAAGACUCUUGCCGGCAAGAAAGGUCACAUCUUCCAUCACAAAACAGAAACUUUUUGACAACAAACAAUUGGAAUUUCACCAUUCUGUUUAAUAUAGAUUCUAGCACAGAGAGUUAAAGCCCCAGACGGUGGGAAGGGGGGUGUGGGAUUCGGUAAACAUGUAGAGCUGUGCUCUCCAAAUGUUCACUGCUCCAUACUGUGCGUAUGGAGACUGCCUCACUAGCAUCGGUAUAUGACGCUGUUGUUUGAGUCCCAGAAUCAUUUAGGUUUGAAAAGACCUCUAAGAUCAAGUCCGACUAUCAAUCUAGCACUGCCAAGUGGUGUCUCAGUUCAAAUUAUUUGGAGGAGAGGCCAAUCCAGGUGGUGUUUGGGUAGGUACAGGUGUACAUUUCUGACUCAGAUGGUAAUGGUCUCGGCUGUGAUGCUGCAGGAAGAGCUGG